rnacentral:lncRNA from 1 species
GAGUUGGAACUUUUAGAAGUGUUUGUAAGUGUUUUAUUUAAGAAGAAUUGUCCAUUUUCAAAGAAGGUUAUGCCGAGUUUUCGGUAAAUUUUUCUUAGAGGUCACUACCAGAAGAAAGGCGUUAGCCGAUGAAAAUAAAAAAACCAGGCCGACGAAAUUAAUAUAAUUUCGUCGGCUAAAGUUGAGCCGGCUAAAAUUAAUAUAAAAAACCAGGCCGACGAAAUUUUAAAAAGUUGAGCCGACGAAAAAUAUAAUUUCGUCGGCUAAAGUGCCUUAUAUUUGCAGAUCUGGACAACAACUCAUCUGGAAAAAAAAACUAUACGUAGAACUUUCAAACGCAAAAAAGUCGUGAAAUAAGAUAUGACCAUAAUGGUGAAAUACGUCUACGGUUGAAAAAUCACGGUAUUCUGGUAAAGUCUCGGUGCCGAUAGUUACGGACAAUGCAAUUUACUCUUAUUAUUCACUAUGCUGCAGAUUUGGCAUUUGGUGUCUGAUUGACUAUUGUGAUACCUUUCCGGAAGCGUAACGGCGCUACGAGUCAAACUCAUUGCAAGUGCCAUGAUGUAUAGGCCUUUUUGGCCAUCCGAGUCCGUUUAGGGCUUCAAAAUGCAGUUUUCUUAUUUUCGAUUAGAGUUGACCGUUUGGAUCGAGCCCUUAACGUUGUCGGAUCCAGUUGAAUUUCUUACCAUACACAUCUUUCGUCAUAAUGAUCAUAUCUGACGGUCCAAUUUUGGUUUGUGAAUUUUAGUCAUCGGAAUCACAACGUGUCUACUAUUUACCGUUAUUAUUCCCUAUGGGGGAGCCCUAUCAUCAGAAGGUAAAUGUCUCAAAAUUUUUAUAUGGGCAGUUGCGUCUCAUCUACGUGAGAGUUUUUUGUGUGGAAGGUUUGACCAAACUACGUAAUAUAGAGGGAGAUAUGNNNNNNNNNNNNNNNNNNNNNNNNNNNNNNNNNNNNNNNNNNNNNNNNNNNNNNNNNNNNNNNNNNNNNNNNNNNNNNNNNNNNNNNNNNNNNNNNNNNNNNNNNNNNNNNNNNNNNNNNNNNNNNNNNNNNNNNNNNNNNNNNNNNNNNNNNNNNNNNNNNNNNNNNNNNNNNNNNNNNNNNNNNNNNNNNNNNNNNNNNNNNNNNNNNNNNNNNNNNNNNNNNNNNNNNNNNNNNNNNNNNNNNNNNNNNNNNNNNNNNNNNNNNNNNNNNNNNNNNNNNNNNNNNNNNNNNNNNNNNNNNNNNNNNNNNNNNNNNNNNNNNNNNNNNNNNNNNNNNNNNNNNNNNNNNNNNNNNNNNNNNNNNNNNNNNNNNNNNNNNNNNNNNNNNNNNNNNNNNNNNNNNNNNNNNNNNNNNNNNNNNNNNNNNNNNNNNNNNNNNNNNNNNNNNNNNNNNNNNNNNNNNNNNNNNNNNNNNNNNNNNNNNNNNNNNNNNNNNNNNNNNNNNNNNNNNNNNNNNNNNNNNNNNNNNNNNNNNNNNNNNNNNNNNNNNNNNNNNNNNNNNNNNNNNNNNNNNNNNNUCGGCUAUAGUAUUUUUUUAAUUUUUUUUUAUAAGGUUUAGCCGACGAAUUAUGCCAUAAUUCGUCGGCUAUAGUUAUUUUUUAAUUUUUUUGAUAAGGUUUAGCCGACGAAAUAUACUAUAUUUCGUCGGCUAUAGUUAUUUUUUUAAAUUUUUUAUAAGGUUUAGCCGACGAAAUAUACUAAAGUUCGUCGGCUAUAGUUAUUUUUUAAUUAUUUAUUACACACUUUAGCCGACGAAUAUCUUAAUUGUUUCGUCGGCUAAAGUCUGGGAAAAAAACCGACGACAUGUUUUUCGUCGGCUAAUUGUGGGACUAUAGCCGACGAAAAAAAAAAUUUCGUCGGCUAAAGUCAUCGCCAACGACCUUUUCCCGACGAAAUCUUAGCCGACGAUGGCUCGUCGGCCAAGAUCUUAGCUGACGAAUUAAGUUAACAGGCCGACAAAACUUUUUCGUCGGCUAAAGUGCUUGUCCUGGUAGUGGGUGGACCCCGUAGGAUUUACUUUAGGUUUCAGGAUGAAAUUCAGGGUGAAAUUCAGGGUGGGUCCUGACAGUUGUCUUCUCAUGUGUUUGAGAUAGUAAAAAGAGUAAGAAAAUACUUUCCCCUUGAACUCCAAACAUAUCGUAUUCCCUUCUAUUUUUUUCUCACAACACAUUAUUUUAUUGUAUUAAUUACAUACUUUUUAACAACUUUCCAGAUGACUUGCGUAGGUUAACAUCGCCGCCUGUUGAACCCCUUGGUUUCACUUGCCAAAAGCACUUUGUAAAGCUCAGAGGUAGGGAUGGAGCCAAGAUUUUUAAAACAAACUAGGCUACAUAUUUAUAUAAGAAAUUUAGGAAAAAUAAUUAUUAAAAAAAAAAAUUUAGAAGAAGAAUUAAUUUUUUUUUUUUUGUUACAAAAAAGUUUAGGUGAGAGCCUACACCACCAUCGCCAGAGCAAAACUGCAGCCUCAACCCUGAAGGACUGACAGUGGACACGUACCUGUCAACCAGCCUCUAGGAAUAAAUUAAAUUUGUACAAUCCAAAUCAAUUCAUUAGAACAAUCAUAAAAAGAAAAUAAAUAAAUAAAAAAUAGUUUAAUCAAAAAAUAUUAAAAUUUGAAUAGUUUAAGAUAGAUUGGAUAAAAGAUUGAGCAAAUCUCAUAAAUUGAGUUAAGAGACAACUUUACAAAUUUACUAUUCUAUAUGAAACUUUUUCACCGUUUGAUUGCAUGGGUUGUACAAACAUAAGCAGAUCAUGUUUAAGAUUAUUAAGCCACUUAAUUAGAACACAUAAAUGUUUCAUGGGCUAUAACACAGAAAGGAUUGCACUAUCCUCUGUCCUUGCUCAGAGGUGUCUUCAUCACCAGCUUGAUAUGCAUAAGAAAGUACAAUAAUUUUUCUAUCUAACUAAUACUAUAAAUCAGAGUAUGUAUACCAAAAUAUAAAUUGUCUAAACAAGGUAAAAUUGUCGAAUUAAGCUAGUUUUGAUGAAGUAUAAAGUGUAUAGACAAAGAGAUAGCAAGAGAAUCAUCCUCUUAUUCAUUGAUAGGAGCCCUUUACAUAGGGAAUUACACAAUACCAAUAUGGUAAGGAUAUGAAUACAUAGAUCUAGUCUAACUACAUAUCCUAUUGGCAUAAGGCCAAGGCACACAUAAAGAAUAUCUAGAAAGAUACAGAAUAUCUUAGAACACUCCCCCUUGUGCCGCGCGCUGAUAUGCCGAUGGUGCUGAUCUGUUGCCUCGUCAAAAACCUAGUCAAGUCACAAAAACCCUGUGGGAGAAAAACUGAACCUAGAUCGUAGGAGAAAAAGAGUACAACGCACCCUUCACAUUUGAUAGUGACAUGUAUGUAUGUGCUAGACUCCCCCUGAAGUUCGCACCUCUCCCUGAUCUUUACAUCCAUCAUAGGGCUCUUCCUGAUUCUUACUAAUCACGGAAAUUUCAACAACUUAGCAUGUCAAUGCUCUUUAACAUGUCUUCAAAUGUGGCAUUAGGCAAUGAUUAACUAAAUCAUGCCGUAUUGUCCUCAAAUGAUCUUUUACACUUAGAUCUUGAGGACAAGGACGCUUGUGAACUCAAAACAUAAGUUCGUGCAGGAAAUUAGAUUUCCGCGCAGCAUGACCUUCAGUUACUAGAACAGUCGUAACUUCCUCUAGGAAAUACAUAUGAACGAACCGUAAAUGGUUUUGGAAACUAGACUCAUUUAGCUUUCCUAAUUGUAUAUUACACACGUUCUGGUUCGUCAGGAGCUAUUCACAAAGUCCCGUCGAAGUUGACUGUUUUGCCAAAAUUAGAUUCUCGGACAGAUUCGUCCUACUUUAUGAAAACGGCCAUAACUCACUCAAUAUGAUAGGUAUGAUCAAAUGGUUGGUGUCCCUAGAAAUUAUACACAUAGAUCUUUCCAAUGGUACCAAUUUCACCAUUUUCUAGUGAGUGAGAUUUCCUGUAGGUCCUGUGGAAGUUGACCUACGAAACUAGGCAGAUUCUGAUUUCGCUAUUGAUGUGUCUUUCUUAUGUAGGGAUAGAAUAAGCCUCAACCUUUCAUACCAUUAAGUAUUGAAAAAGGAGUUACUGCCAUUACAUUGGCGUUGCGUGGGCGCAUAGCUACACUUAGCUUUACAACUUUUCAUAGCGAAUGAGAUGUCAAGUCUUUCGUAUUGUGUUGAGUACAUUGAUGCGUCUAAUUGUACUUAGAUGGGAACUCCAUCUCUUAACACAUAUUUGUCAUCUUGCUUUAGACAAAACAACGGAUCUCUCUUUAGAGUAAAGACUUUGACUAAUCAUGGGAGUAUAUGUAGGCCUCACUAGUUAUAGAGCGCCUAAGCCGAUUGAUGAAAAAUCAUCAUCAAUACAUUCAUCGAGUGCCUUAUCGAGACAGUGUCUUCCCAAGAUCUUUUUCUUUGGAUGUUGAUACAUAUUGGCAUCUCUUGAUCCAUCAAGAAUCCAUGUAAAUCUGGAAUGAACACGCAAAGGCAUAAUUCACCAUAUCCCUUCCAAAUCAAGUAGAGUCCAUGUGCAUUUCAAUACAUUUAGCAAACGCACGGAAGCUCCUGUGGUUUGGAGCUACUUGAUUCGGAUGAAUGAAGUCCGUUUAAGAGCUUCAUGUAUAUCUCUGAUCCCAUAGAGAUGUUAUUAUGACCACAUUCAUAGGCUGCAUGUUCAGUUAUUCAGAAACUACCAAACUGACAAAGUAGUGGAGUUCAAUGACAUCCAUUACGAGGGCAUAUCUCAUCCUAGUCGAUCUCAGUGUGUGUUAGUGAGAGACCAUGAGCCAUAAAGUGAGUCUAAACUCUUGUUCUCACUACGCUAUUUAACAAAGGUAUAGUUGAUAGGGUUUAGCUUGCGGUGUCGGCAUCACCUGCCCAAAGACCUAUCUCUUUGUUAAUGCUAGAUCGUAUCUUUCCAUUAGGCCAAUCAACUAAGAUGAUAUCCAUCAACGAAAGGUGGUUCGAUAGUAGACUCAUUAUCCCACGUCCUCAUGGACACUAGUGUAAUAUUUGUAGAGAUCUCUAUAUGGAUUGGAUUUGACAUUGAGGCGUCCCCCAACGAUAAUCACAAUUCAGACUUCAUGAGACGGAUUUGAGUAUCACUGAUCAAUAGAUCAGGUUGUGCCAAGCUCGCUUUCUUCCUAGUGCGAGAAAAUAUCGAACCUAAGGGCCUCCCUCCUUUUGGGGAGCCACACGACCUUGUGACACCAAUUUUGCCACUAUAUGGCGUCACUAUAUCACCAUCCAUGGUAAUGGCGUCAAGACCAACACAUUUUGGUCACGCCAUGUUCUCUUGAUGGGACAUCAAUCCUUGCAGACAUAUUUGCAGCAUGUGAUCUCGUCACUUUAACACUUUAAGCAUUUGGGAUCAAGAUGAGACUUAAUGGGGACAAACCAUGACAAUUCACGUCGUUCCACUUGAACACUUGUGUUCUUAUCUCCCCCUAACGGCGGGAAUAUUGUCUCAUCAAAGUGACAAUCCGCAAUAUAGCGGUGAAAGAGAUCGCCUGACAAGAUUUCUACAUAUGCAGAUUAUAGGUGGAGGUUCACAUCCAACCUAAAUACGUAUUCAUCUCAAAUGACCCAUCAUUGUGCGCAGUGGCAGUGCGAUUUGGCACCUAGAAUAAAUAUCUAGCUAAGCUCAAGGAUUGGAAAUCCGUUUCAAUCCUGUCGAGCUCAAGACUUACAAUUUCGUGUCAAUCCUGGUACACAGUCACGAGCUGUAGUACAACAAUAUUCAAUGAUGGUGGGUCGUAGAUGAAUAGUCAAGCUGCAUGCAAAUAUUGCAUAGCCCCAAGACGCAAUAGAAAGAUUGGUGGGCAUCAAUAAUGUUCGAGCGACAAGCUAAAGUUGCUUAGUCAUAGUCUCGGUGAGACCGUAUUGCAUUUGAACAUGGGGUACAGGACACUUCAACUUACAUCCCGAUAAACUUUUUUAAAGAAUGGGUAGUGAGCCUGUAGAAGUAUAAGCAGCAUAAACAGUAGAUAAUAGUGUAACACGUGACCAAUGUGCUAACACUUCAACUAACACCAUAAAGCAUAAAAGGUGUCCGCAAGUUGGUUGUAUCUAUCUACAUAAUUUAUGUAAGAAUAGAAUGUUCACUUUUGUGUUAUUUAGCGUAGGAGGGUCUCACUCCUAAUUUAGCUAAAGAAUAGGCUUUCAAAACGAGUAAUGAGCAUUGCAGGGGGCCAAUGCGACAUCGAGGGAAGACCGGUGUACCUCAAUUGCUUGAGGAAUUGACUGGACGGCCUCCGGGAAGUUGGAGCCAUGUUCGGGUGACGUCAAUGUCCCCCGGGUCACCACCAUGCUUCAUGGUGAUGCUAGAUCCCGAAUGUCUUCGUUUUGAGCAGAAGAAUGGAUAUCCAUGAGAAUUUCUCAAAAUUUGGACCAUUAUGUCUCUUCCAGGAUGACCGAUUUGGUCAAAUCAAAGCCUAUAUAAGUCGGUGUCCCAAAUAUCAUGUUUGGCGACAACAUGAGAUUCGAUAUUCGAAUCGUAGUGACAUACAAUCCACUAGAUUGACUCAUGAAUUUCUCCAAGAUGCGCUUCAGUCCGCAUUCAUGAGAAGGUAUACACAAAAGAAUUCUUGUUCAUUCUCACAAUGUGUUUUCAAAUGAAAACUAUUAGCAGGAAUGUCUUUAAAGCUCAAUAUGGUUCGAUUGCCUCUCAAUGCAUAGAGGGUAUCUGUGACAUUGAUCAUGGUGUCAUGAGGCAUCAAGAUUUAAGCUAAACCGCGUCCUUCAAUGACCGGUAUGAUUCAAUCAUUGUAGUCACAGAAGAUUUACAAAGGCACAAAAUCCAAAGAUAGUUGCCGGUUCCUUAGAAUGUUGUGGAUAGUUCCACUAUCUGCGAAGCACUCAAUGUCUCGAUGAGACAUAUCUACAAGAAGGAGUAGAUAGGCUAGUUAAUAGUUCCACUUGAACCAUUUAGAAGGAUUGAAAGAAGCUACGAAAAACUGCAAUCCCGAGAGUGCAUAAAAAUUUCCGCGCAGAAUGACCUUUGCGCACUAAAACAGCCAUAACUUCCUCGUUAAAAUAGAUAUAGACAAACCGCAAAAAGUUCUAAAAACUAGACUCAUAGAGCUUUCCAAUGAUAUAAAGCUCACUGUCUGGUUCAUCCGGAGCUGUUCACAAAGCUCAAACGAAGUUAACUGUCCAGAAGGGACAGAUUGCUGUUUUUCGCAGAAUUGGCAUGUGCGAAGCUGUGAAGCUUGCAAGUGGCGUGUAGGCUUUUGCCUUAGCCACAAGUGAUAGCGACCGAAACCGGGCGUUUCAAUUAAAAACCCUUUUGUGUCAAUUAUAGUAUAUAGCAAAUAAGGGUAUCGUUACAAGCCGGGGAUUGAGGGUACCUUUACAAUUACGUUAAUUACAAAACAAAAGAUGAUAGUACUAGAGAUAUGGGGUUUUGUGAUUAUAAACAAGAGAAAAUAAAGAAACAAAAUAAAUCAGAAAAUAUCAAAUGGAUGAGACGUUAGAGACUUGGAAAUCCACCACCAAGUAUGUUUCAAGACAUGUUAACAACCAAAGCUUCAAUCAUUAAGUCACAAAUCGGUAUCAAUCAAGAACAAACCGUGAACGCAUUGCGUAAGUCCUUAUUACUUCCCUUGAAUACUUAAGUAAGAUGAACGCACCAUUACUAAGCCUUUAGAAUAACCGAUCAAGGUAUAGACGCUAUCCUAUCAACAAAUUAUUCUAAGCAUUAUGAUCAAUGAAAGUGAUUGAACAAGUAUGCAAAACUAGUGUGGAACGCCUACCUAGCAUGCAAUCCUUUUUAUUUGGUUUCACCUAUUGUCCUAUAGGUUUUACUACUUUGAACUAAGCCGUAUUAACCGUUUAGGAGAUUAAACAACCUAAUUCUAGCCCCACUCACAAGUUCAUAAUGUUCUAUGUUGCGCAUACAUGAACAUAAACAAGCAAGAGUUCUCCAUAAACCAAAACCAAAUAAACAAUUUGAAAGACUUAAUAAUUCAAAACCAAGGUUCAAAACAAUAUCUAAAACAUUCUUGGGGCUUCAAACCUCGCCCCUAACUAAGAGAAAUCAGCCACACAUGGCUGCAAAGACACACAAGGAGAAUAAAAGAUGACAAAGGAAAGAUAAACCGUGGAUGAUGGAGAGAUCAAUGAUGGCUUGGCGGCUUCCUUGUGCGAGUCUGCAACUAUGGAUGUUCUGAUGAUGUGAGAUCGCUGGCCUCCUCUCUUCUUCUCGUCCUCUCCCUCUUUUCUUAACGUCCUCCCCUCUUUUCUUAACGUCCUCCCCUCCUGUCCUCUUCUGUUGUGAUUAGGGUUAUAAAACCCUCAAAACUCGUCCAUGGGCUUGCCAAAGUGGUCUGGGCCUCAAAAUAGAAGUUUUGGUCCAAAUCAGAAAUUCGGGCAGACUGACUUUCGGCCACUUAAACGGUCAUAACUUCUUCUAUAAAAUAGGUAUUGAUGAUCCGUAAAAAGUUCUGGAAAGUAGACUCUUGUAGCUUUCCAUUGAUAUAUGGCACAUCUCCUGCAUCAUUGUGAGCUGAUCACAAUCUUCUGUCGAAGUUGACUGACGAUUUCUGGCAGAUUUUCUGAUUUCUUUCCUUGCACAACAUGGAUUCCUUUUCCUUCAAGAUUUCUCCUCUUUUGUCUCUUUUAGGCUCCUUGGCUUUAUUUAUGACCUAAAAACACAAACUUAGUUAAUAUGAAUAUUGUUAAGGGAAUUACAUAGCUAAAUAUGGUCGGAAAUACAUUAUAAACGUAGCAUUUUGUGCUCCUAUCAACAAGUGACGUGUGUAUGAUCAAAACCAAGUCCUUUCGGUCAUUCUAAGGUCGUAAACUCCAUGACUAGUUAGCAAAAGCUCCUUGACAUGAACAUAAACUAACUCAGAGGACCUAGAGGAUUAGAUCAUGAUGAUAAUUUUCCGGUUUUUGAUAAGUCUUCAACGUCUUUUGCAAGACGGCAAUUGGUUUAAUAGCGUAGGGGGAUCCAAAAUCAAAAGCUUUCGGUAACUCCAAGUCAGUAUGACCAGACAUGUCCGUGGAGGGUCGGUAGUGCAGGCACACUUGAAACCACUAUCUCCUUAAUUUCGGACAAUUCUAAGACAUCACACUGAGCUUGGAUGAGCCUAGUUGAACAAUUGAUGAUGGAAAAUCCGCUAUAGGGUAGAAGACUUAACCGGAAACACGUGAGCGAUCCUCUUUGAGGAUGCAGUGCCAUGAGUCACCUUUAAAAGAAGGGACCAAAAUCCGCACAAUAUGCCAUGUCUCUAAGGACGAUGUAAGAAUAUACAUCUUUUUUGUAAAUCAAUAUGAACCAUAAGAGGAGAAUAGUUUCACUUCGAAAAAAUUCCCAAGGCAUUCAUUAUUGCUAAUGUGAGUAUAUAUCGAGAUCUCGAAUAAACAAAGGACAUCGAUACGAUGUCUUAUUACAUAUAGCUUGGAAAGAAAAUCAAUGUCUAGCCAAUGACAUCAAAGUCAGGGGUAGCUAGAGCUGUUGAUUUUUCGUACUUUUUGUAUGCAUUCAUAAUUUGAAGGAGCUUGACAAUCUUGAACCAGUGAUCCGAAAAUCCACAACGGUUGCAUUGUCAUGAGCUGACGUGAGUAGUUUUGACAAAAUGGUGUCUAGACCGGGAGUGUCGCUAUUAGAGCCGUUGCCAUGACCCAUAUUGUUGUCCCCACAUUAGGGGAUAAUCCUAAAUAAAUUUAUCACAUUAGCGUAUAUAUACAAUUCCCGUAUGUAUGAUCAAAAUCAAGUCUCGUUGGUAAUUCCAAACCAACUUAGGGGACCUAGAGAACUUGAUGAUGAUCGAAUCCGCUAAAGGUUAUAGAUCAUGAUGCCACAAAAGAUUAUCGACAAUAUGUAGUCAAUUAAAGUGGUAAGCAAUCCACUUGACUAAUAACUCAACAAGUAGAGUUAUAUGGACGUUUCAAGAAACGCUCCAUGAGUGCAUUCCACAGUACUUUGUGGUCAUUACUUUUUGCACAGAUUACCAUUGAAUGCUUGUCGAUGUGGCGCGUCAAAAACUUUGAGCGCAGGAGAUGUGAAAUCUCGGCAUCUAGGCUUGUUAGCCUAGGGGUCAAAAUAUGUGGUUUAAUCCUUUCCAGUGAAAGGUUCCAUAGAUACCAAGCGAAGAUUCGCCUUAGGUAUCGAGUACGUCAAAACUCAAUGAGCAGAAUGUUACGUUGCUCUUGCAUACAAAACCAAGCAGUUAUGAGACUCGAUAGAGGUCACAAAUCAAGCUUUUAAUGGUUUGUCCUUCGGAUUGAUCAUACACAAUCCGAAAAAAGCCGCGAAUUGAUCAAAUACAAUUCGGAAAAGGCCUCGGAUUGAUCAAACACAAUCCAGAGAAAGGUCGGGGUUGAUCAUACACAACUCGGACAAGGAAGCAAAAGUGAUCAAACACACUUUUGACCCGCAAAUAAAAUUCCGGGAUUUUUGGUACCUGCACACACAAAAUCCCAAGCAUAGAAUGGAGAUGGAGAAGGGAGGAAAGGAUUUUAUCCUCCCCGAGUUAUUGAACUUGAAAAAGUUUAAGGUUUCAAAACAUACCUUUCUGGUUUCUUUGGAAGACGAGCAAUCUUGAAAUCUUUGGUUUCUAGAGGCUGCUGAGAGGAGAAACAACGUUUUGCCUACUUAUACUUCGAAUUUGGGGCUGAAAAUUUUACAGGAGGAGUAGCUCUGGAUGGGGGAAGCUGCUGCCAAAAUUUCAGGUUGAUCGGAGCAAGGGAAGGUGGUGAACCGGUGGUCGGUAGCGGCGGCGGUCUGGAAUCUUCCGGCGGUCUGUUCGGAGACUUUCCGGCCGGUUCUCAGGGUGAGGCCGGCGGCGUUGGAUCCGGGACGGAGAGAGCUUUCUGGGGAUAUAAAACUCCAGCAGAGGGCAGUCGGAAUUUUGGUCGCAAAUCGGGAAAAACAAGGCUGUCUGAUUUUAGGGUUUGGAAAACAAAUGGUGGGCUAUUGGCUCUAGGGUUAGAACAAAGUGCAUGAUAACCUGAUGAAGUAUAAAGUGUAUAGACAAAGAGAUAGCAAGAGAAUCAUCCUCUUAUUCAUUGAUAGGAGCCCUUUAUAUAGGGAAUUACACAAUACCAAUAUGGUAAGGAUAUGAAUACAUAGAUCUAGUCUAACUACAUAUCCUAUUCGCAUAAGGCCAAGGCACACAUAAAAAAUAUCUAGAAAGAUACAGAAUAUCCUAGAACAAGUUUUGUUUUUUGCUCUUUUGUUUUUUUAUCUCUACUGUCUCUCUUUCCAACUAUCAUCAUCCCUAUUUUCUUUUCAUUAUACAAUAGGGAUGAUGAAUGAGAGAGAGAGAGAGAGGAACGAACAAAAAAAAACUAUCUUGAAUAGAGGGUAUUUGAGUCAUUUUAGCAAGUUAACGAUCUUUUUUUUACGAUCAACUGACGAAAAAGGUAAAAUUGUCGAGAUUUGAGGGUACAUGGGUGUUUCUGGAGAAUCCCGAGUCGGGUUGCAGAAGCUGAUGGUGUGUCUGGUAGGUGAUUGGCUAUCUUCCCGCUGAUUUGUAAACAAAAGGAUGACCAGGGGCUUCCGGUCUUUCCUCCUCUGAUGGUUAAGUCAGUAUAUGCUGGUUGAAUGUAAUUACUAGGGUAGUUAAUGAUACCUAACAAGCUGGUGGCUGGGCCAUAUUUAUGGCCCAGAGUGGGUUCUCUUCACUUGAAAACCGAUGUGGGACAACUGCCUUUGCUGUUACUUCAAACACCCAGCUCCCUUAUGCCUUCUGAAACCGUUCCCGGCCCAAUGCUGCCACCAAGGUCGGGCUCGGCCCGUCCUACACAUGGGUGAGAACCCUAGGGCGGCCUCGGUUGUCUUGACCAUGGUGGGAUGCUUGCUGGUUUUAUGUGCAACUGACUACAAGUCCCCCCCAAGUUCCCGUUCAAGACACAUCUUGAGUGGGGACUUGCUAAAUAAGCCUAUAGACCAGUAUAUUUCAAAUGAGCUCCUGCCCAUAGUCCCCCCAAGUUCGUACUUAUGACAUGGGUUGAACGGGUGUUACAUUUUCCAUGGACAAAGGUAGCGAGCCCUUUCCAUAUCCAGUGUUACUACUCGAGUGAUGGGGUGUUAAUGUCGUCCGUGGUUUAUCAAGCCACUUGCUCCGUUUUUAAAAGGAUCAUAUGAAAUGACCGGCCCAAGCCUCUCGGUUCAAACUUAUCCGGGACGUACAUUUCUUACGCAGUUGUUGAACGCGGUGGAAUGCCUAUCCUGGUUGAAUGCCUCUCUCGGUGGUACUCACCCGUGAUAUGUCUUUCACUAUUGGUCUUGGUGAUACUCACCCGAGAUAGGACUUUUACUGGGUGGAAUGCCAAUCUCUCGGUCGAAUGCCAAUCUUUGUGGAAUGUCAAUCUUGGUCGAAUGCCAAUCUCGGUCGAACUCACCUUGGAUAGGUCUCGGCUGUACUCACACGGGAUAUGACUUUCACUUGGAGUUAGGAUCACAGUGAUGCUCGCCCGAGAUGGGUCUUUCACUUAGGAGGUGGUGUGUUGCUGUGGUAGGUGCAUUAAAUGCAUGUUCGCCAGAUGUCGCCAUAUUCCUGGGGAUAACUGACGGGCAAUUAAUGCAUGUCGCUUCAUUCUUUCCUUCUUCCAGAAGGUAAGAGGGUUUGAGCUAUGUGGCAUCAUCUUGCGGUUGCAUCCGACGGGUACACUACCAGAAGAAAGGCUUUAGCCGACGAAAAUAAAAAAACCAGGCCAACAAAUUUUUUUUUCGUCGACUAAAGUGGACUUUAGCCGACGAAAUUUUCCUUCGUCGGCUAAUUUAAAAUUUUCGUUGGCUAUGGUCAACUUUAGCCGACAAAAUUAAUAUUUCGUCGGCUGAAUAAUUUUUUUCGUCGGCUAUAGUCUGUGAACUUUAGCCGACAAAAUUUUUAAAAGUUUAGCCGACGAAAUUUUUAAACUUUAGCCGAAGAAACUUUAAAAAGUUGAGCCGACGAAAUUAUAGACGAAAAAUAUAAUUUCGUCGGCCAAAGUACCUUAUAUUUGCAGAUCUGAACAACAACUCAUAUGGAAAAAAAAACUAUACGUAGAACCUUCAAACACAAAAAAGUCGUGAGAUAAGAUAUGACCAUAAUGGUGAAAUACGUCUACGGUUGAAAAAUCACGGUAUUCCGGUAAAGUCUCGGUGCUGAUAGUUGCGGUCAAUGCAAUUUACUCUUAUUAUUCACUAUGCUGCAGAUUUGGCAUUUGGUGUCUAAUUGACUAUUAUUCACUAACGCCAUGAUGUAUAGGCCUUUUUGGCCAUCCGAGUCUGUUUAGGGCUUCAAAAUGCAGUUUUCUUAUUUUCGAUUAGAGUUGACCGUUUGGAUCGAGCCCUUAACGUUGUCGAAUCCAGUUGAAUUUUUUACCAUAGACAUCUUUCGUCAUAAUGAUCAUAUCUGACGGUCUAAUUUUGGUUUGUGAAUUUUAGUCAUCGGAAUCACAACGUGUCUACUAUUUACCGUUAUUAUUCCCUAUGGGGGAGCCCUAUCAUCAGAAGGUAAAUGUCUCAGAAUUUUUAUAUGGGCAGUUGCGUCUCAUCUACGUGAGAGUUUUUUGUGUGGAAGGUUUGGCCAAACUACGUAAUAUAGAGGGAAAUAUGAGAGUUUUCGUGUGAUAAGUGACGAUGGAUUAUGGUUUACCGUUUCGAUCGAGCCCUUAACGUUGUCGGAUCCAGUUGAAUUUUUUACCAUAGACAUCUUUCGUCAUAAUGAUCAUAUAUGACGGUCGAAUUUUGGUUUGUGAAUUUUAGUCAUCGGAAUCACAACGUGUUUACUAAUGUUGUAUAACUUGUUUAGUAGGUUAUACAACUUUGUGAACCAACUCUACAUAGGAAGCAAAAUUAUCAAAAAUCUCGUGAAAUAAGAUAUGUUCAGAAUAGUGAAAUACGGCUAUGGUUCAAAAAUCACGUAAAUCGGGUAAAGUCUCGGUGCCGAUAGUAGCGGUUAACCCUAUUUACCGUUAUUAUUCUCUAUUGGGAGCCCUAUCGACGGAAGGUAAAUGUCUCAAAAUUUUUAUAUAGGCGGUUGCGUCUCAUCUACGUGAGAUUUUUUCGUGUGGAAGGUUUGACCAAACUACGUAAUAUAGGGGGAGAUAUGAGCGUUUUCGUGAAUUUAUAGAUUUUAGCCGACGAGAUAUUAAAAAAGUCGUCGGCUAAGGUCAAAAAAUUUCAAAAUUUUUUGGGCGGUAAACCAAAGUUGGAGGAAAAUUUUCAAAGGACUUUAGCCGACGAAAAUAUAUGAAAAGUCGUCGGCUAAAGUCGAAAAAUUUUCAAAAUUUUCAACCAAAUUUUUUUGGCGAUCAACCAAAAUUUUCAAAAGAGUUUAACCGACGAAAUUCUUUAUAUAGGCGAAGAUGGAUGGUAAGAAGUCUAUUAUCUGCCAGAUUUUCUUCUCAGCCUAGCUCCGCCGUUAAGCCACCGGAGACCGCCACAGUUGUCCCAAAAGCUUCGCCGUCGUCUCUACUUCAUUGCUGGAUAGGUGGUGCAUCGAGUGGCGCCGCCGUGAGGGAUAAAUGGAGCUCUAAAACUCCGCCGUUUCGGAUUCGGUGUCGAUCGAAUUUCUCCUUCCUUAGGUCACCAUUUGGUGAGUUCUAUAUAUGGAUAAGUUGAGUUUGAUUAGUACUACAUUCCCCUAGAAUUUGGUAGCUCGAUUCGGUGUGUGUGAAGAGAAACGAAGAUUUGAAGUUUUUAGGGUUUAAAAUUGGGGAUUUUUAUAUUUUGAGUCGAUUGACUUAUUUAGGCUUAGAAUUGAGCUUCGACUUCUUCUAGAGAGUUGUUCGAAAUGUUGAGAGGAAGAUUCUGUCAAAUGUUGGUCAUGAUUGGAGGUGGCCGAAAGUUUCUGCAGUUUUUUUUUUCAAAACCCAGCAACUUUUGCCGACGAUAUUUAAAUACUAUAUUCGUCGGCUAUAGUAUUUUUAAUUUUUUUAUAAGGUUUAGCCAACGAAUUAUGCCAUAAUAUAGUUAUUUUUUAAUCGUUUUAUAAGGUUUAGCCGACGAAAUAUACUAAAGUUCGUCAGCUAUAGUUAUUUUUUUAAUUAUUUAUUACACACUUUAGCCGACGAAUAUCUUAAUUGUUUCGUCGGCUAAAGUCUGGGAAAAAAACCGACGACAUGUUUUUUGUCGGCUAACUAUGGGACUAUAGCCGACGAAAAAAAAAAUUUCGUCGGCUAAAGUCAUCACAGACCACCUUUUCCCGACGAAAUCUUAGCCGACUAUGGAUUUUAGCCAACGAAUUAAGUUAACAGGCCGACGAAAAAGUCCCCUCUUUUUCGUCUUCACUUCUCACUCUCUUCUCCGGCCGCCUUCGCUCUCUUUUCUGGUUUUUCUCUCUGUUUUCUUUCAAGCUUCUGCUUUAGGUUUUCUUUUAUGCUCUGUGGUUUCUUGCUCGUUUGCUUUCUUUGCCUGUUUCUCUGUUUUCGCUGUGCCGCCAUCGAUUCUUGCGAUUGCGAGGUAUUCCCUGCCCUCCUCGUUUCCGGCAUUGCUACUGCAUUGAGAAUCUGGUAAGUUUCUGCGUUGCUUUGUGUUGCCUCUGUUUUUGCUUUGCCUCUGUUGUGCCUGUGUUGUGCUGGUUUUGGGUAAAAACUAUGGGUUGUGGUAUUCUAGGGAUUUCUGGGUUUAGGGUGUGUUAAGCUAUGCCCUUUGCGCUUGCUCCCGGCGGCGCAUACUAAUAGAUCUUAGGGUUUGUUAUAGUAGGGUAAAUGGAUUCCUGAAGUACGACCAACUUAAGCGGGGCUAGCACAUCCUCUCGACCGAUAGUAGAUGACGACAAAAGGAUGGAGGAGUACAUAAGUCGACCAUCCCGCCCGGGUGAACCGUCUAAGUCGAGGCUUGAAGACGUAACUUAUGCCGUACCCGCCCGGGAUGUCGAUUGGUCUGCCGGGGUUUUUCAUGGCGUCCCAAUGACCAGCGUCCUAGGCACUGCUUCCUCUGGGCGGUAUAUCUUAGAGGAUGGGACCGUGUGCGACGAGCCUGAGUGCAGCAUAACCCCGGCUGAGAUCGAACAGUUUCGGGAAGACUGGGGCAUCCCGCCCGUGAUUACCUUCCAUGGGCUUUAUGAAGACGAGUUGGCGUGCUGUCCGAGAGACGGCUUAGUUGCUGUGCACGACAACAUGUUUAGGAACGGUUUCUCCUUCCCGCUUCCUCAGUGCGUGCAGUACCUGCUGAGCAUGCUUCAGCUAGCUCCCGGGCAGAUCCCCCCAAACCAGUGGCGCCAACUGCUUUCCAUGUGUUGCCUGUACUACUUGUCCGACAUGGGAUGGCCGACAAUCAACGAGUUUUGGGCUCUCUACCACCUAUCAUACUCGAAGAAGCAAAACUGUGGCGAGUGUGUGUCCUUCGCCGCUCGGGAUUACAUGUCUCCCGUUACAGAUCUUCCAAUGUCCAUAAAUAACCACUGGCAUUCAAAGGUCGUGCUUGCAGGUGGGCGAUGGCAAAGAAACUGCCCAAAGUACGUUGUGCCCAACCUGUUUAGGUAUAUCCGGGAUCAGUCCUUCUCGCUAUCUAAGAUCAAGAAGCAAUGUAUCGGUCGGAUAUUUGCGGCCUGGCCAUCGGACGAGGAUCGCAGCUCGUACAACUUGACUUGGUGGAGUGUGCUAGUUCACUGUGAACUCGGCCGCAUGCCUGGUGGGGUUCCCGGUUAAAUGUCGCUCGGUUGCUAUUGUUGUUUUUUUUACUUGUGCUUUUUCUUUUGUUUUGUGUUGACUAUUGUGCUUGUAUGCAGCUAAAGUUCCUAAGCGCAAGCCCCAUGACUCACACCUGCGCGACAUGGACUUUGAUAUGGACUUGCUGAGCAACCUCUUGGAGGUCGGGAAGGUGGCCUCUCAUACCGAGGUGAAUGUUACUAACUCUACUGCCCGUGUCUCCGAGGACGCUAUGCUCCUGGAGAUUCCUGACAAUGGGUAUGGAAAUCCGCCUUCUGACAAGGAGGGACCCGCGAGUACCGGUGACAUGGUCAACGUCCACUUGGGCGAGAAGAAGAAGAGGACGUCAUCCAAUAAGUCGAAGUCUCAGCGGGAUGAAGGCGUGACUUUGACCUGUAUAAGCGUGACUGUCGCCUCGCCCCCUGGGAAGAAACAGAAGUCGGCCGGUUCCUCAGUCGGCAACCCGGUGACCUUGAGCGCUCUCGCUCCUGCUCUUCCCCAGAUCAAGAGGACCCCCAUCUGGUAGAUACUGGAUGAGUAUGGGUGCGCUGACGAAAUGUUCGUCCGUAGCAUGGUGGGCGACUUGAAGGGAAUCGAGCUGGACCGGAUCAGGGUAGGGUCUAAUUCUCCUCAACAAAACCGGCAAUAUGCCCGGGAGGCCAUGAUGAAGGUAAACUUCUUCUUUCAUAUGCCAAUUUACUGUCCAGGAUGCUGUAUUUAAUUUAUUUUCUCUUUGCAGGCUGUAUUUGCUGUCUAUGCCAUCGAUGCCAGCGAGGACUCCAAUGAGAUGAAGGAGCGCUUGGCUAGCCUUAACGACCAGAUUAGCUACCUCCGAGCCGAGCAGAAGAAGAUGGAGAAAAACUUAGAGGCCGAGAAGAAAGAGAAGCUCUCGUUGGCUGACAAGUUUGCCAAACUCAGCCUUCAUACCAAGGAUCUAGAGGGAAAAGCCGAACGGGUGGCAGCUUUGGAUUGUGAUAUAGACGUGCUUCAGCGGGAGAAUGCUAAACUAAGGGCUAAGCUGAAGGAAAGGGACGACCAGAUUGUCGACCUGUAAGGCCAAAUUCCCGCCUAGGGCGAGCUUGCUGUGGCCAAGUUCAAGGAGUCGAACAAGCUGAAGUCUAUGCUCAAGGCUGCCCGAGAGUGUGGCAUCACCGAGAAGUUUGGUGAAUGGGGCCGCCUUGGGUAUCUGGACAAGGCGAAGAUGACUGCUUACCUGAUCGCUGCCAAGGAGGCCAAGGAGAGGGAGGCGAAGUCCAAGGCGGCUACCGAAAAAGAGCCCGAGAGCGCGGGGGGGUUGACAGGCGAGCCGUCCGAGAAAGACACGGAGGCCGGCGCUGUUGGCAAGGACACCCUGGCCGAGUCGUCUGAAGAUGAAGAAGAAGACGGCCUCGAGGCAUAGGUUGUAUUGUUUUUUGUUUUUUUGUAAGACAAUGGCCUUGUGCCCUAUCCCGGUGAUGACACAUCCCUGGUGCUUUUGUAAAUGCCCAUUGGUGGUACAUUCCCGGCAUUCCGGGUUUUAAUAUAUUAUGCCUUGAUCAUCUUGUCAUCUGCUCCUCUCCCGUAUUAUAUUAUAUUGUGUUAUGCCUGUCCCGCUUGUUACUGGGGAUUUUAAUAAUUUAUUACCCAUCCUGUUUGGUGUUACUUGGGAUGGAUUACCGCUGGACUUUAAUGACUUAAACUUCCUGGUGGAUUACCUAUCUCGUUUGGUGUUACUUGGGAUUUUAAUGACUUAUGCCUCCUGCUAAAAGAUUCAAUCAUUACUUGUUUGAAUUGAACUUCCCCAUUCCUGUUUCAAGUCUUUCAAAAUCAAUGGAGGCCUCCUCUGGGACAUGUUGUUCUUCCGAUGGCAACAAUACUUACAAAUAUACAUUUUAAAAAAAGGUGGAUCUCGUCCCCGUUUUUACAAUGGGUAGAACCUCAGGUGUUCCGUAUUCCAGGGGCGCCCGGUGACUAUCCCAUCUUGAUCCCGAAAAAAGAAAGCUGACCUCUUCAACAAUCUAGUACGGCCGGCCCUUCCCAGGUUGGAUCCAAGGCUGUUGUCUUGGUCAUGAUUUUCUUCAUGACCCAGUCCCCUAGUCCCAACGUUCGGGCCCUGACUUUACUGUUGUAAUGGCGUGCAACUCGUUGUUUAUAGACUUGGUUGUGUAAGUCUGUUCUCUCCCUCCUUUCCUCGAUGAGGUCGACGUUCAAUUGGAGGCCUUCCUCAAUUGUUUAUAGACUUGGUUGUGGCGUCGAAGUUCUCGACCUUUCCCGAUGGUAUUGAUGUCUCGAUCGACAAGACAGCCUCUGUGCCAAAGGCCAUGCAGAAAGGAGUUUCUCUCGUUGCUUCUGUUGGUGUGGUUCUAAUUGCCCAUAAUACCUCCGGCAGCUUCUGUGCCCACAGACCCUUGGCGUCAUCUAACUUCUUCUUCAAAAGCUUUUUAAUAAUUUUGUUAACUGCCUCCACCUGAUCAUUAGUUUGUGGGUGUGCCACCGAUGCGAAGACCAUCUUGGUGCCCAUUUCCUUCGUGAACUCAAUUAGAUGGUUAUUGUUAAAUUGCGUUCUGUUGUCCGUGACGAUUGUCUCCGGGACCCCGUGUCACAUCUCGACUCUUAUAUUUUUACCUUAUUUACUAGCAUGAUUAUAAUAAGAAUUUUACCGUCUCCGUCAUUAAGUUAAUAGUUUAAUUGGUCCCUAGAGGGGUUUCAGGGACGAUUAUGUGCGGAGGAUUAUUCGCAAGAGGAAAAUACGACGACGGUAAAAAUAGUAAAUUUUAGCUAGUAAAAGGUAAUUUUUAUUCGGGUAUUAUUUUUUCGGCGUGUUUUAUUUUGGAGUGGGUUGAUAUAUGAGUAUUGGACCGGUUUGGAGAGGCCCAAACCCAUCUCCCUCUUUUUCUCUUCUCCCUCUCUCCCCGGCCUAGCCCCCGAGCCUCUAACCCGCCGGAAGAGGAGAAAUCCCGCCGGAGACGCCGGGAAGCAUUUCGCCGGAACUCCCUCCUCCGGCCACCAAUCCGGGCAAGCUUGGUACAGUUUUGUAGCCCUCCAACCCAGCAGCCUUGCCCUAAAAGGACUCACUCCCUCUUGAGCUAGGUAAGGAGAAAUUUGAGGUGGAAGUUUUAUGGUGUUUUUGAUGUUUUUAGUCGAUUGCCCUAGUUAGGCUUGGAAUUGGUGUUUGUGCUAGUUAGGAAAGUUGUAGAGCAUGAUGAGAGGAUGAUUCUAUCAAAAUUUCAUAGGUUUUGGAGGUCGCCGGAAUUGGCCUCCGGCCGCCGCUGCCGGCGGAGCCGACGCCGCCGGUUUGGGAGAUUUUUAGGGUUUUAAAUGUGGAAUAUUAAGGGGAUUAUAUUGAGGUGAUUUAUGGAAUUUUUGGAUGAGAUUUGGAUAGGUUUGUGAAUUUCCGAAGUUUGGUAUUUUUGGCGGUUAAUUAAUGUAGAAUCCGGCCGUAAGAUUUAAGUCGUAUUUUUGGGGAGGUUAUAUUUACGACUGCCGAGGAUGAUAUUUAAGUUCGGAUCGUUCCGAUUUAAGAAUAUCGAAGUUAGGCAAUAAUGAGCGUGUUUAUGGCUCUCGGGUAAUUUUGCCUAUUUUGAUUAAUUAUUGGAUUGUUAGUUGGGAAAUUAAUAUUAUAUUUAGAACAGGACGUGAGGAGGCUCGAGCAGACUAGACCCCAGAUCGACAUCAGGCUUAGGCCUAAUUUGUGAGUGGACUUUUGUUUUAAAUAAUGUGCAUGCGAAAUAAUUUAUGUUGUUGGAGAAUAAUCGAAAUUGAGAAUUUCGGUGAGUAUAUAUAUAUAUCCAUAUGUGGAUGAUUAUGAGAAUAAUAUGUAUAUGAGAGAAUGCUAGCUAGCUAUACGUGCUUUUCCACCAUACUGAGGUAAAAUUCCAUUAUGGUGCGACGUGAGCGUUAGACGCAAUCGUCGUAGCCCUAUAUAAAUAUAAUAAUUUAUACUGAAAAAUUCAUAAGAAACGAUAUGUACGUAGCUGCCAUCCAACUAACCCAAAGGAAUUACUUGGCUCAACUAACAGUCUUUCAAAGUAAGAUCAAGGAUGUAAGAGAAAACAAUGCCUCGAUAUUUAGACGCAAAGAUGCAUUUGCAACAAUGCGAGUUCUGUGAGCGGUGUACAAUAAUCAUCCAUUUAAGAACAGUAUAUAAAUAACACAUCCAUAUCCUUUACAACAAAAUCAUACAAUGUAAAUACAUUUUACAUGAUGAACCCAAGUUGCAUAUGACAAUUCUGCAACUCUUGAGUCUAAAUUGCGUAUAUAUAUUUAUACACCGUCUUUUCCACCUUAAUGAGGUAAAAUGCCAUUAUGGUGCGACGUGAGCGUUAGACGCAAGCGUCGUAGCCUUGUGUGAAUUUUCUAUUUAUUUUUGUUGUUUCAAGAAAAUUCAUACAAGGGAUAUGACGAGUGUAAUACAUACAUAUUUUAUUUUAGCCUGAGAGGCUGUAUUUUACUGAGCAUUGGAGACUGGCCGGAGCUAGUCAUAAAAUUUCCAGUUUUCGUAUUGAGUGUUUGAGCUGUCGCAUGCAGCACAUUUUUCUAUGGAAAAGUAAAAUUGGGAAAGCAUAAAGAAUUAUUUCAUUUAUUUUAUUUUUGUCCACUCACUCUAACGUGUUCAAAUGUUUCCCCUGGGCCCUUCGUUUUAAAAUGCCCAGUCUGCAGAGUUCGGGUUGGACCUAGUAGGAGACGAGGCAUAGUCACCCGCAUUUCCACCACUUUUCAUCAGUAGGUUACUUGUUUAACCUACCUGUGGUUUCUUUUUCCGCUAGUGUUUAGUAGCUCUGAAUACUUGGGUUUAAUGUAUAUUAUUUCGGUUGUGGGUGAAGACUUGUUGUCGCAUUAGAAUAUUUGUUGGAGGAUUUAUGUUAUCUUUUGGAUAAUUAUAUUUGAUGUUUGGAUAAUGUUGUGUUGUUAGUGGUAGUUGUAUUUGGGGAGCACGUAGGCUCCAGGAGUUAAGGUUGGAUUAAAAUUUUUGGAAGUGUUUGCAGGUUUUCUUUAGGAAGGGUUGUCCAUUUUCAAUGGAGGUUAUGCCGAUUUUUCGGUAAUAUCUUUCUUGGAGGUGGUCCCCGCACGUUUUACUUCGAAUUUCAGGGUGAAAUUCGGGGUGGGUCGUGUCACCCCGAAUCUGCAAUAUAUGUUUUUCAGCAGGAAAUUCUUCACGCACUCGGUGGUUAUCUUCCUCAGGGGCUCCGCUUCCACCCACUUCGUGUAAUAGUCAACAACCACUAUUACGUAGUUGAAUUGGUCGGGAGCCGUCGGCAGUAUCCCGAUGAGAUCCAAACCCCAUUGUGCAAAGGGCCAGGGAGACAAUAGGAUUGAAGGAGCGAUAGGCGGGAAUGUGUCUCGUUGGCAUGCAAAUGACAUUUAUGGCAUCUCACCGACAUCUUAUCCGCCAUGGCGCCCAUGUUGGGCCAGAAGAACCCUGUUCGGAGUGCCUUAUGCGCUAGCGAUCGGGAUCUAGAGUGAUUCCCGUACACCCCCUCAUGUAUUUCUUCCAUGAUCACCUCUCCUUCCUCUUCUGUUACGCACUUCAGGUUCGGGAAACUAUAACCUCUGCGGUAUAGCUUCCCGUUCAUGAGUGUGUACCUGGCAUAUCUCAAUUGCAAUUUUCGGGCUUGCCGCCUGUCCUCCGGGCGCAGCCCCUCUUUCAUGAACUCGAUUAUGGGGUCCAUCCACGUUGGCUUUCCGGGUCCCGCCUCGACCAUGAAUAUCUCCGAGAUGGUUUUACUGAUGCUCGGUUUUCCUAGCACCUCAAUCCUUGCCUUCUUCCUUCCUUUUUCCAGCCCCUCCGGUGGCUAGCCAGGCAAGGGCAUCUGCAUUACAUGUUUUCCUUCCGCGGAAUGUGAGAAAGAGAGGCCGACUUGAAGCGUUGCAUGAAGGCUUUCGACAGUGCUUGAUAAGAGUUCAACUGAGGCUCCUUAGCUUCGAAGCUCCCGUUGACUUGAUUUACAACCAACUGUGAAUCAUUGAACACUUCCACUGUCUCCACGCCGAUAUCUCGGGCGAGCUGCAAUUCACGAAUCAAGGCUUCGUACUCUGCCGCAUUGUUUGAGGUCUGGAAUUGAAAUUCUAGGGCGUACUCAUGCUUGAAUCCAUCAGGGGUUUCUACUAUUAUUCCCGCCCCAUUUUUAUUUCUUGUCACCGAGCCGUCAACAAAAAGUUUCUAGGAUGUUGCCGAUGGCUCCUCAAUGUGCACCGCCUUGUCCGCCCCAGGACCACUUCCCUCCUAGCCGACCUCAGAUGACUCCCACAUCUUUCGUGGGGGUGAGCUCAGAUGACUCUCCCACAACAUUUCAUGGCCGUGAGCUUAGAUAUAAAGUCGGCCACUGCUUGGCCCUUGAUAGCCACUCUCGGCCGGUAAUGGAUAUCAAAUUCUCCCAACUCAAUUGCCCAUUUUACCAACCUCCCACUGAUAUCUAGCUUUUGCAUGAUCUAUCCCAGGGGGUGGUUGGUAUAAAAGGUUAUCGAGUGUGCAUGGAAAUAGUGUCUGAGCUUUCUGGCAGUUAUAAUGAGUGCUAAGGUUAAUUUCUCGACAUCCGGGUACCUGCUUUCUGCGGGUGUGAAUCCUUUCCCGACGUAAAAUACCGCAUGUUCGACAUCAGACUCCUUUCUUAUUAGCACCGAGCUAACUGCCGUUUGCGAUGCCGCAAUAUACAGGUAAAGUAUCUCGCCCGGGAUUGGUUUUGACAAAACUGGCGCGGACGUGAGGUAUAUCUUUAUCUGCUUGAAAGCCUCUUCCUGCUCGAGCCCCCAUACUACCUCCUUACAUCGCUGGUCUCUCGACAGCCGAAAGAAAGAGGCACACUUAUCUGUGAGUCGUGACAUGAAUCUGGCCAGGGCGACGAUCUUCCUGGCCAACGACUGCAUCUCAAUCCUUUCCUUGGGUCUUUCCAUGUCCAAGAUGGCUUGGAUCAUUUCCGGGUUGGCUUCUAUCCCCCUCCUACUGAUUAUAUGACCUAGGAACUUCCCUUUGAUCACACCAAAUAUGCAUUUUUGAGGGUUCAGCCUCAUCCCGUACCUCAAUAUGACCUCGAAGACUUUCUCCAAAUGCCCCACAUGUUCCUCGGCUGUUAGACUUUUGACCAGCAUGUCAUCGACAUAUACCUCCAUAAUUUUCCCGAGGUACUCGGCGAACAUGACAUUUAUCAGCCGUUGGUAGGUGGCUCUCGCGUACUUUAGUCCGAAAGCCAUUAUUUUAUAACAAUAUAGGCCCCUAUCGGUCGUGAAAGUCGUGUGCUCCUUAUCCCUCGGAUCCAUCUAGAUCUGGUUAUAGCCCGCGUAUGCAUCCAUGAAGCUCAACAAUUCGAAUCUAGACGUGGAGUCCACCAGUUGGUCUAUGCGUGGGAGCGGGAAGCUAUCCUUUGGGCAUGCCCUGUUGAGAUUCGAAUAAUCCACACACAUCCUCCAUUGUCCCAUUGACUUCUUUAGAACCAUGACCACAUUGGCCAACCACUGGGGGUAUCUGACCUCCCUUAUGAACCUAAUGUCCAUCAAUUUUUGCACUUCCCCCUUCAUUGCUUCAUACUUCUCUAGCUUAAACGUUCUUCGUUUUUGCCACAAGGGAGGGAAUCCUUUCUGGAUUCCUAGUUGGUGUGUUACGAUUCCACUUGAUAUCCUGGGCAUGUCCUUAUAUGUCCAAGCGAAUGCCCCACUGUUUCUCUUCAAGAAGUCUACCAGGGCCGCUCGCACACCAGGUGACUGUCCUGUCCCGAUGGUCACUUGCUGAUCCGAGAACUCAUCUGACACUGAUCGAUACCAUUUAUGUUUCUUCCGCUAAUCCCGGACGCUCCUCAUCCGAGUUAGUAUCAUCUCUGGGAUCUACGUAAGGAUCCGAGGGGGAUGCCGCGGCCUGGCUUGCCGACAGAAACUCUGACCUCUUCCUCCCGUUGUCUAUUGCAUAACAACUCCUUGCCGCCCCCUGAUCUCCCUAGAUCGUAAUGAUUCCCAUUGGGGUUGGAGCUUCAUCAUCAGCAUGUGACCGACAACAAACGACUUUAGCUUCCAUAAAGCGGGCCUUCCCAAGAUCCCGUUGUAGGACGACUCGCAAUCCAUAAUGAUAAUUCUAUUGUCGCUCGGGCGACUCCCUCUCGGCCUUCCAUGCUUACUCCAAAGUUGUCUGAACCGAGGGGCUGAACAACAUCGCCCGAGAAGUUGAUCAACGGCUCAUGGUCUUGCAUCAACUUGUUGCUUCCUCAAUGCAGUCCAUUCCAGGCACUCCUGAAUAACACUUUGACUAAGGCUCCUGUAUCAACGAGGAUCUUCUUCGUGAUAUAGUGAUCGAACUGCAACGUUAUCAAGAACGGAUCCUCGUGCGGCCUUAUUCCCUCCUCUUCCUCUUCUAGGAAGGUAAUGGACUUCCAACCCGUGGUUACCUGCUGAUUAUUGCUACUUCCAAAGGCGAAGACUUCCCGGCCAUCCCUUCUCCCCGUACAUUGAUUUUUUGCCUUGUUGCUCCGAUUAUCUAUACGGGACCCGUUAUGGAUGGUGUUGAUCGUCCCAUACACUUCGAUCGCCCCGACGUGCCUUUGCCUGGGCACAUAUUGCUGCAAUUUUCCUUCCUUCACUCGGUCCUCUACCGCUCUUUUCAAUUCUAUGCAGUUGUUAAUGUGAUGGGUUGCCUCCCCGUGGUACCCACAAAAUUUCCCGGUGUCUUCCUUGGUGAGCCGAGACGCGGGAAACUUUUGGGCCGGGGGAGGAGGAAUGAUAGACUUAUUCUCGUUCCGUAUCGUCUCGUAAGUGGCAUUGAGCGCUAAGAAAUGCUCUUUGCCUGCCGGCGCCGCUCUCGCGUACCCGGUAUCCUGGUAGGGCCCUCUUGCCUUCCGUUGCGCAUUAUACUGCUUUCCUGCCUUCCCCCCGCUCCUUUCCUUGUGCCUCUUUCCUACCGAGUACGAGUCCGGCUCUCGUUCUCUCUUCCAGGCUCUAACCUCUUGGACCACUUGCACCGGGGACCCGCCUUCUCUCCCUUCGACCUUCUUUUUCCCGGCCGAGGUCCCCCCAUAAGUAUCAUGGUCCGCUUGUGCAUGCUUGAUCACCAUUUCCAUAAGCUCGUCAUAGCCUUGCGGAUUUUCAAAGUUGACUGCAUACAAAAAUUUUCCAGGAAGCAACCCUUGAAUGAACGCUUCCUCUGCAACCUUUUUGUCAAAGUUCUUGACUCUAGCUGUGGCUCCUUGCCAGCAGUUCACGAAUGCUCUCAACUUCUCUCCCCUAUCCUGCUUUACUUUGAAUAAUUGGGCGGUGUUCUUCCCAUCCGUCCGUAGAAUGAACCUAUUGACAAACCUGUCGGCCAACUCCCGGAAGCAGUCGACCGAGUUCGACAGGAGCUCAUAGAACCAACUAAGUGCUUCCCCUGCUAAGGUUUCCUGGAACAUGUUGCAGCAUAUCGCAUCCGAGUAUCCAUUAGCGUUCAUGUGAGACUUGAAACUAUCAAGGAAGAGAUAGGGGUCACGGUCCCCAUUGUAGCUAAGUUUCAAUGGCUUGGCCGUGUUCGGUCGGACGGACCGGGUGAUCGCUCUUGUGAACGGUCCAUGUCUUUCUUCAAAACUCGCACGGGUUGGAUUGCGUGUCCCUCUUCUCUCGGCAUCUGAGAUUCUGUCAGCUAAACUCACCACACUAUCUCGGAUAGCUCUUAAGGUUUCUUCCAUCUCUCCCAGUCUUCUAACUUGGACUUCUAGGAUUGGCUCGGGCAAGGGCGGCGGUCCCUGUCACAUCCUGACUCUUAAAUUUUUACCUUAUUUACUAGCUUGGUAUUAAUAAAAAUUUUACCGUCUUCGUCAAUGAGUUAUUAGUUUAAAUGGUCCCUAGAGGGGUUUUUGGGGACGCCUUUUUCGGUGGAACUAUUCGUAGGAGAAAAAUGUGAUGACAGUAAAAAUGGUUAAUUUUAGCUAGGAAAAGGUAAUUUUUAUCAUGGUAUUAUUUUGUGGUGUUAAUUUUGGAGUUGGGUUUAUUUUUUGGUGUGGGUAUUAAGGUGUUGGACCGGUUUCGGGAGGCCCAAACCAUUUAUCUUCCCUCACUUCUCUCUCUCUUCCUCCCGACUCUCUCCCCAAACCUCUCCCUGCCGGAUUUUCUUCUCACUCGUCCGCUGCCGUCCGGCCACCUCCGGCCGCCAAGUUGGUCCCCAUCGAACCACCACCUUCUCCUCUUCAUUUCUGGGUAGGUGACCGAGCCCCUAGCGCCGUCGAUCGGGAGGAAACUCGCCUGGAAGUCCCGACUGCCCAAAGUUCUCCGUCGCCGGAACUUCCUCCUCCGGCCACAAAUCCGGGCAAGCCUUAUAUGGUUUUGAAGGUCUUCAACCCAGUUGCCUUGCCCUAGAAGGACUCGGUCUAGUUUGUUUCUGGUGAGGAGAACCAGUGAGUGGAAGUUCUAGGGUUUUUUGUAAUGUUUUCGUUCGAUUGUCAUAGUUAGGCUUAGAAUUGGUGUUUGUGCUAGUUAGGAAAGUGUUAGAGGGAGUUGAGACGAAGAUGCUGUCAAAAUUUGGUAGGCAUUGGAGGUCUCAAGAGUCGGCCUCCGGCCGCCGCUGUUUAGGGGAUUUUCAUGAUUUUUAAUUGGUUAUAUUGAGAGUUAUUGAUGUGAAUUUUGGAAUUUUUGGAGGAGUUUUAGAUAUGUUUAGGAUUUUUGAAAGAUUGGUGAAUUUGGCGGUUAAUGGGGUAGAAUCCGACCGUUGGUUUUUCCUUAGUAUUGUUUUAGAAUGUUGAAAUAAAUGAAUUGAGGCUGUGGUUGGAGUUUGGAGUGAAUCCGAUAAGCUUAACCCUAAACAGGGUAGUGGAUUAGGCGGAAGAGUUUUGGGUUAUAUAUAUUUAAGUAUUAUUUAUUUCUGAAAUUGAAGUUUGGUCCUAAACAUGGUUAUUGUGCCAAGAUUCGAGGAGACCUCACUUGAGUGGCGAAUUAUAUUUCGUCGGGCUUAUGCCUAAAGUUGUGAGUGGACUUUUGUUUUAAUUAAAAGCAUGCGAUGCAUUAUAUUAUUGAUCAGUUAUUUUUUCUGCUGAAAUUUAUUGUUUUCUUUGAUAUUUGGCAAUUUUCAUCUUUUGGAGAGUUACCGAAAAUGAGAUUUUCGGUGGAUAUGUAUAUUGGAUGUUUAUGAAUAUAGUAUGUAUAUAAAUGCUAGCUAGCCAUACGUGUUUGGUCCGUCAUAAUGAGGUAAACUUCCAUUAUGGCGUGACGUGAGUGUUAGACACAAGCGUCAUAACCCUAUAUGAAACCUACUUUCUUAUUUAGUUCUUAUAGGUUUUCAUAUAAAGAGUCCACAUAUAUAUACACCCGUCCUCUUUGGUCAUAAUGAGGAAAAAUUCUAUUAUGGCGCAACGUGAGCGUUAGACGCAAGCGUCGUAGCCCUGUAUGAAAUUCUAUUUUUCUAUUAUGUUUAUAGAAUUCAUACAAGGAGUCUGACGAGUGUAAAUACAUAUAUAUAUAUAUAUAUUAUUUUACACUACCAGAAGAAAGGCUUUAUUCGACGAAAAUAAAAAAACCAGGCCGACGAAUUAUUUUUUCGUCGGCUAAAGUCCACGUUAGCCGACGAAAUUUUCCUUUGUCGGCUAAUUUAAAUUUUCAUCGGCUAUGGUCAACUAUAGCCGACGAAAUUUUAAUUUCGUCGGCUAUAGUCUGUGAACUUUAGCCGACGAAAAUAUAAAAGUUUAGCCGACGAAAUAUAUAAUUUCAUCAGCUAAAGUGUCUUAUAUUUGCAGAUCUGGACGACAGCUCAUCUGGGAAAAAAAAACGAGAGAAGGUCCGGCCAAAAUACGUAAUUUAGACGGUCCAAUGACCUUUUUCGUGCGUUUAGGGUUUGAGUUACGGGAUUGACCGUCCGGAUCGAGCCCUUAACCUUGUCGGAUCAAGUUGAAUUUUUUCCCAUAUAUGUAUUUUAUCAUGAUGGUCAGAUCUGACGGCCGGAAUUUCGUUUCUCAUGUUUAAUCAUCACAAUCACAAUGUGUCAAAUGUAUAAAAGGUACUAUAGCCGACGACAUUAUUGAAAAUUCGUCUGCUAUAGUUAAUAAAAUAAAAUAAAACAAAUAAAUUGAAAAUAUUAAAUAAAAAAUACUAUAGCCGACAAAUUUCAUUACUUUAGCCGACGAGAUUCACAGGUUUAGCCGACGAAUUUCACAGGUUUAGCCUACAAAAUAAAAAUUCCGUCGACUAAAGGUAUAGGGUAUAUAAUUAAACCCAGCGCUCGACAGCCUCCACAGCGCUCUAAAAAACCCUAAAAAACCCACCACCGCCUCCUCGAGCCCUCCACAGCUUCCUCGAGCCGUCCAAAAGGUAUGGAUACGUUUUGGAUACGGGAUAGGAUACGUUUUGGGUAUUUUUGUUUGUUGAAACAAUUAAAGAAAAAUAUAAAUACCUCUAGCAAUACGCAGCAGCAGUUGUAUCGUCCUCUCUUCUGCUCUUUAUAUUCUCUCUUCUGGGUUCGUGAAUCGUUGUUUUGAGUGACUGGGUACCAAUAGGCAAUAGCUUUGCUGCCUUCGCAAGAUUUGCAGAUUGGGGGUUCAAGACUCAAGAGUUGGAGACUUGCAGCGACUGAGAUUUGAGAAGGGAUUCUGGGAAGAUUGAAACGCAGCAAGCUUACAGGCGUGCAAGCGGUGCAGCAAGCCAGUGAAGCCACCUCUCUUUCUUUCUUCUUUAAAAAGUUAAAAACACAGCAACCAACUCUCUUAUCCCAAGUUCCACAAAGGUAUAAUUACUAUUUAAUAAUACUAUAAAGAGAUGUGGUCAAACAGAGAUGUGUAAUGUGUUUGAAUUCUAUUAUGUUUGCACCCGAAUGUGUUCGUGUUUAUUUGUAUAAUUGUCUUUGCUUUGUUUGGAUUUCGAGACAAAUAUUGAAGUAGUGGAACUUAGACUUAUUGUUUUGUUUUUUGCUUGAACUUGUUAUUUAUUUUGGUUGAAUUUUUUGUUAAACAUUGUCUUUAAAUUGCUUGUUUGUUGUUAUUUCCUAAUUAUUUUUGUAAUUUUUUGUCAAAUAGAUUUAUUAAUAUAAUAAAUAUAUAUUUUUAUUAUUCCUCGAAACGUACCCGGCCAUAUCCUUUUUCUUUUUUUUAACGUAUCCCCGUAUCGUAUCGUACCCGUACCCGUACCCCGUAUGAAUGUCUGUGCAUCAUAGCUCUUUUCUUCCUCAGCCUUGAUUCAAAUUAAUAUUUUAAACAGAAUGAGCGGUAAUUUUAGAUCGACGAAGGGUUCGAAGGGCCAAAGGUCUGAAUCGUCUGAGGGAACCUCUAGCAACCCUCAAACGUCGUUUCGGGGCCCCAUGAUAGCCAGACGUGCGACCCUUCUGGAAACGGCGUAGAGGCAACCGAGCGUUGCCCAUUCCUCGAGGCAACUAGAGGUGCCCCUUUCAUCGAGGCAGCCGGGCGUCCCUCAUUCCUCGAGGCAGCUGUGGCCUCAUAACCAGACAGAGGUGUCUACACCCCGUAUGCCUGAGAUACACCGGGCACCCACUCCAGGUCCUACUGCUUUGGAUGGUGGGUCAUUUGGGGUACAGAUGACGCCGCCUCAUCUGUUCCUUCCACGGAUGAUACCGGCCUUACCUGCAGUUGAUGGCUCAAGGACACCGAUUUAUCCACUGCCCCCGCUAGUGGCUCCAUCAGCAGCGCCGGUUAGUGCCUUUUGAUACGCCUCUUAUUUCCGCGAGGGUAUUAUCAUCGGCGACAGAGACAGAAUCCGUCACGUCCGCCGCAUCGUCCUUGGGUAAUGAAAGAUGAAUGAUUUUUUUUCUUAUAAUUAAUAAUAAAGGGUCUCCGAUUUUAAUAAUCAAUUUAGUUUAUCAUGUGAUAGGCACCGUCAGAGCGAAGCCGACAAAGAAGAAGAGAGGCCCCGUCACAGGGAAGGCUCUCGAGAAGACCGUCAAUACCUCAGGGAGGAUCGUUAUCGAUACUGACGGGGAUGGCCAUAUAGUAUCGAGCGGGAAGUCGAGGACGUACUCCGGCCGCGUGGGAGCACUCAUUAGGGAUAGAGUCUCUAUGUUGUGGUCAGACUGGGGCGAGGUCCCGCAAGAGGUUAAGGACAUGGUCCACAACGCGAUGUCGGUGAGUUUGCAAAAUGCCUCAAUAAUAUUAUGUAUUACAUUGUUGAUUUCUCGAAAAACUAAAUUAAUAAACGGUUAAAUGCAUGUGUGGUUUGACGUUCCCGAACACCUGAAGAACAGCUGGGCAGACAUUGUGCAUGGGGGAAAGUACGUUGGGAAGUUAAUGAAAAAACAAAAUUGUAUGUGAUAUUAAUAAUAUUUCUAAUAUUUUUGUUGUAUCUGUAGGUACAAGGAGUGGAAGAACGAGUUCCGGACCCACUAGACUACGCACGAGAAUGCACAUUCUGGUACCCCUGCUGAGUUCCAGUACAGGGAGUACGAGUGGCAUUGGCUUCUGACAUCAGAAUUCAACAACCCUCAUAAACAGGUAUUUAAAAAAAAUAAUUAGUUAGUUUGUCAUUAAGUACGUCCGUUUUUAAAUAUUUUACUAAUAAUUUAUUUUUUCUUUGAAGGCCGUUUCCCGGGCGAACGCUCAGACCCGGCAAUGCAACACAAGGAACCAUCAUGUCGGUUCUAGACCAUUCGCUGUCUUCAUGGACGAGGCGGCCAGGGAACAUCCAGAAGUCAACCGGUACGUUUAUAUGUACGAGAAGGCAUAUCCUGACGCCUAGGAGGAUAUUGUAAGUCAUCUUACGUUUUAAAAUUUUUAAUUUUACUUAUAUAUAUGUCAAAAUGUUAAUUAAUCAUUUUUUUCUAUCCAAUUAGGCGAAGGUGAGGGAGGCUAGUGACAAGGUGAUGAGUGCUAUAGUGAGGGAGGUAUGGUCGAAAACGCAAGAGGAAGAGAUGUCCGAAGCCAUGUCCCGGAUCGACACUUCAGAUCCAAGGGAUGGGACGAGGAUCAUGGGCACAGCCUUCCCACCGCGAGGAAACAACACUUCGGAUCCAAGGGGGUCCUGAAGACCACUCUACGAUUUCAACGAAAUGCAGCCUCGACCAGCAACAGGACGACUCAGCUAGAGUCUGAAGUUGAGAGACUACAGGUUCAACAAGCUGCUCAGGCUGCUGCCCAAACAGCCUAUACUGCCGCGGUAUAUGCCACCCAGCAGGCCCAGCAGCAGCAGAUGUUCCAGUACUUGCAGGAAUUUAUAGCUGCCCAGCUUCAAGGACUUCCGGCUCCGCCCAUGCCUACGCUUAUACCGCUACCUCAGCCACUGCAACCUCAUCCGCAGCAGCCCCCAGAAUCGGAUAUUGAUGUAGACAAUCUAGAUUUUGUGUAGUUGAUCAAUUAUAUAGUUUUAUGUGCUUGUUAAUGGUUAUAUGGAAUUGUUUUGGUGUAUUUUGCAGGUUGCUUGGAAUGGUAAUUUAGAAAUUUCGGUUUUUUUUUUUUACUGGAAUGGACUUAUAGCCGACGAAACAUGUAAGAUAUUCAUCGGCUAUAGUAUUUUUAAUAUUUUUUAUAAGGUUUAGCCGACGAAUUAUGACAUGUUUCGUCGGCUAAAGCCUUCUAAAGCCGACGAAACAGACUAUAUUUCGUCGGCUAUAGUUAUUUUUUUAUAUUUUUUAUUACAUACUUGAGCCGACAAAUAUCUUAAAUGUUUCGUCGGCUAAAGUCUCAGACUAUGGUCAACGAAACAUUUAAGAUAUUCGUCGGCUAAAUUCUGGGGCAAUAGCAGACGACAUCUUCUAGUUUCGUCGGCUAAAUACUGGGACAAUAGCUGACGACAUCUUUUAGUUUCGUCGGCUAAAGUAAUCGCCGACGACUCUUUCCAGACGAAACCAUAGCCGACGAAGGCUCAUCAGCUAAGAUCUUAGCCGACGAAUUAAGCUAACAGGCCGACGAAACUUUUUCGUCAGCUAAAGUGCUUGUCCUGGUAGCGUUAGCCUGAGAGGCUUUAUUUUAUUUAGUUUGGAGACAAGCCGGAGCUAGUUAUUUAAUUGCCAAUUGAUGAGUUGAAAGCUUUUGAGCUGUCACAUGCAGUAUAUUUUCUAUGGAAAUUAAAAUUGGGAAAGCAUAAAUAUUUUUUCAUUAAAUUCAUUUUUUGUCCACUCACUCUAACAUUUUCAAAUGUUUUCCCCUAGGCCCUUCGUUUUAAAAAUGCCCAGUAUGCAGGUUAGCAUAGUUGAGGUCGGGCGUACAUGGAGAAGAGGCAUAAUCAAUAGUAUAGCUUCCGCUCAUUUUUAUAUUUCUAGUUCCUUUUGUCACAUCCCGACCCUUAAAUUUUUACCUUAUUUACUAGCUGGGUAUUAAUAAGAAUUUUACCGUCUCGUCAAUGAAUUUAUGGUUUAAUUGGUCCCUAGAGGGGUAUUGGGGGACAACUAUUUCGGUGGAUUUAUUAGUAGGAGAAAAAUGUGACGACGGUAUAAAUGGUAAAUUUUAGCUAGUAAAAGCUAAUUUUUAUUAGGGUAUUAUAUUUGGAGUGUUAAUUUUGGAGUUGGGUUUAUUUUGGUGGGUUAGGACCGGUUGGAAGGAGGAGGCCCAACUCUUUCUCUCUCCCUCUUUUUCCUCUCUCUCUCCCAAUUCCCUCCCUCUCUCCCUGCCGGAAUUUCCAAGCAGCAGUCCACCGCCAUCCGGCCACCGUAGGCCGCCGCUCCGGUCCCAAACGGUCGGCUGUCAACCAGCCUUCUUCCUAGACCGGUGAGAGCCACCCUAGCGCCGCCGUGAGGGAGUUAUCGCGCCGAGAGCUCCGGUGGUUCGUGGUGUUCCGUCGCCGGAACUUCCUCCUCCGGCCACCAAUCCGGGCAAGCCUUACAUGGUUUUGAAGGCCUUCAACCCAGUUGCCUUGCCCUAGGAGGACUCGAUCCAGUUUGCUUCAGGUGAGGAGAACAGGUGAGUGGAAGUUCUAGGGCUUUUUGUGAUGUUUUUGUUCGAUUGACCUAGUUAGGCUUGGAAUUGGUGUUUGUGCUAGUUAGGAAAGUUGUAGAGGGGGUUGAGAGGAAGCUGCUGUUAAAAUUUGAUAGGCAUUGGAGGUCGCCGGAAUAGGCAUCCGGCCGCCGCUGUUUGGGAGAUUUUUAUGGUUUUAAAUGUAGAAUAUUAAGGGGAGUUUAAUGAUGUGAAGUUUGGAAUUUUUUGAGGAGUUUUGGAUAGGUUUGGGAUUUUUGAAAGAUUGGUGAAUUUGGCAGUUAUUGGGGUAGAAUCUGACCGUUGGAUUUUUCUUAUUAUUGUUUUAGAAUGUUGAAAUAAAUGAAAUAAGGCUGUGGUCGGAGUUUGGCGUAAAUCCGAUAAGCUUAACCCUAGAAAGGGUAGUGGGUUAGGCGGAAGAGUUUUGGGUUAAAUAUUUAAGUAUUAUUUAUUCUGAAAUUGAAGUGUGGUCCUAAGCAUGGUUUUUGUGCUAGGAUUUGAGGAGACCUCACUUGAGUGGUGAAUUGGAUUCGUCAGGCUUAUGCCUAAAGUUGUGAGUAGACUUUGUUUUAAAAUAUAUGCAUGCGGUGAUUCUAUAUUAAAUGAUUAAUUUUAUUGAAUAUCAAUUUGUGGAAUUGUUUAUUUUCGCGAAGUCAUUUUCAGAAGUAAAUGUUCUUAUUUUUAAUGGCUAUCGUCCUAUUUGGAAAGUUACCGAAAAUGAGAUUUUCGGUGGAGUCGUGUGCAUAUUGCUUUUUAUGAUAAUUGGCAAUUUUCAUUAUUUUUGGAGAGUUGGAUAUGUAUAUGGAUGAUUAUGAGAAUAGUAUGUAUAUAAAUAAAUGCUAGCUAGCUAUACAUGCUUUUCCGUCAUAAUGAGGUAAAAAUUCCAUUAUGGCGCGACGUGAGCGUUAGACGCAAUCGUCAUAGCCCUAUAUAAAUUUAGUAAUUUAUAUAGGGCAUAUGCACGUAUAUAUACAUUAUGGCGUGAUGUGAGCGUUAGACGCAAGCGUCGUAGCCUUGUGUGAAUUUUUUUUUUCUUAUACCUUCAUAAAAUUCAUACAAGGGAUAUGACGAGUGUAAUACAUACAUAUUUUAUUUUAGCCUGAGAGGCUUCAUUUUAUUAAAUUUGGAGACUAGCCGGAGCUAGUCAUGUAAUUGCCAAUUGAUGAGUUGAGAGCUUUUGAGCUGUCGUAUGCAACAUAUUUUCUAUGAAAAUUAAAUUGGGAAUGCAUAAAUAUUUUUAUUGAAUUUAUUUUUGUCCACUCACUCUAACGUUUGUAAAUGUUUUCCCCUGGGCCCUUCGUUUUAAAAAUGCCCAGUUUGCAGGAUUGCAUAGUUGAGGUCGGGCGUACACGGAGAUGAGGCAUAGUCAAGAGAAUAGCUUCCGCUCAUAUAUAUAUUUCUAGUUUUUUUCUCCUCUAAUAGAAUUGCUCUCAACCUGUGAUUGUUGGUUGUGAGUUUUUCUUAUUAAAGUGAAUAAAUAAAUUGGGAGAUGUUGUAAUUUGGGGAGCACAAAGGCUCCAGGAGUUUAAGGUUGGAUUUGGAUUUUCAUAAGUGUUUGCAGGUAUUUUUUUUAGGAAGGGUUGUCCAUUUUCAAGGGAGGUUAUGCCGAAUUUUUGGUAAACUUUCCUUGAAGGUGGUCCCCGCAGGAUUUACUUCGGGUUCAGGGUGAAAUUCGGGGUGGGUCUUGACACCUUUCUUCUCAAAUAGAGUUUCUCUGAACUGUGGUUGUUGGUUGUGAGAUUUCCUUUUUAAAGUUAGUAAUUAAAUUGAGAGAUGUUGUGAUUUGGGGGAGCACGAAGGCUUCAGGAGUUUAAGGUUGGAUUUGGAUUUUCAGAAGUGUAUGCAGGUAUUAUUAGGAAAGGUUGUCCAUUUUCAAGGGAGGUUAUGCCUAAUUUUAGGUAAAUUUCCUUAGAGGUGCUCCCCGCAGGCCUGACAGUCCCUCAUCCCUCAUUUCGGGGUUUGACCUAGUUUUGUCUCUCCUUUCCUCUCUCUCUGCCGCUGCAGCCUCGCCGACCAAUUUCUCGGUCAUCUAGCCACCCCAGACGACGAGGCCACCGUCAAAUCUCUUCCCUUCUUCUCUCAUUCCUAACCUAACCACCAAAUCCAGUUUCCAACCAUUAUGUAGUGAGAUUUACAGAGAAGGGGCUCAGGUAUUCUCCGGCGACACGUCGAUGUCGGCCAUGUCUUGAGUAUUGAUGGGUAAGGUUUUUCUCCUCUUUCCUUUCUCUUCCUUUUUAUUGCCUAAUUUCUUCGAUUCGAAUCCUUAAUCAAAAAUCCCUAAUUCUGCUUUUGUCACACCCCAAUUUUCGAAUGAUAAAUUUUUAAAAUUUUGGGCAUGAUAUAUCUUAAAAUCUUAUUAUCCCAAAAUCUGCUCAACAACUUUCAAACUAUAAACAAAUACUGGAAAUGUAAAUGUCAACAAACUCAACAACUAAGUUAAACAUUAUAUCUCUUUAAUUACAUCAACUUCAAAAGUCUAGUAAUAAUAAGGUCGCUCACAUGAGGUUAAAGACAAAUUAUUAAAAUAUACAAAUAAUUGUACAUUGUCUAAAACCCAGCUCCUAAGCCACCGCCUCAACCCUACUGAUCAUCACUUGCAGGUCUAACCCCUACACCAAAAAUUGGUGCACCGAGUUGUAAAGGUAAGCUAAAAAACCCGUAUGAGUAACUCUAAAAAAUAACUCAACCCAAUAUCACACAGAAUAAAACCGGAAAUUCCUACUUAGGACUUAGUUCAGGAAUUGCCUCAAACAACAAAAUUCAAAAGAGAGUAAAUAAGAAAACAUAACAACACAUAAAACAAUCAAUCAUAAGUGAAUCCUACAAAAAUAAUUGUUCAGGAAUUCCACUAAAAAUCACACAAAUAAGAUAAGAAUUGAAGAAUCUCCUGCAUUAAGCAUAGUUCAGGAGAUACUCAAAACAAAGAAGUUAAAUGAAAACAAUUAAGAACAAAGUUAAAAUCACAUAACCAAUACUUUUACAAUAUACAUGUACCCAUGAGUCUCAGAUACCAAUAAGGUAUCUCCCAUGACCUACAACAAACACAUGUACCCAUGAGUCUCAGAUAUUAAUAAAUACCUCUCAUGACCUACAACAACAAUUUAUGUAUUCAUGGGUCCCAGAUACCUUAAGGUACCUCCCAUGACCUACACCGACAGACAGACUAGAGCUCUAUUCCUAAUCGUAACCAAUCACCCGGCCAAAGGUUUGGAACCCAGUUUGACUGUCCAAUAUCAAAUCACAAAAUAAUAAUAGCAUCAUAACCGUAACCAAUCAUCCGAUUAAAGGGUUGGAACCCGGUUUGACUAUUUAAACAACAAAUCACAAUAGAGUAGAAUCAUCAUAACCGUAACCAAUCACCCGAUUAAAGGCUUGGAACCCGGUUUGACUAUCUAAACCACAAAUCACAAUAUAAUAAAAUCUACAUCAACAACCCAAUAGCACAUCAUCAAAUUAUACCCUUCCACAUAGAUAUACUUAUAUGCACAAGACAUAGUUAUUUCCACAAGAAUAACCUAUCAAGAACCAAAAUUAUUAUAAUUUCAUGAACCUUAAAAAUAAUCAUAUAAUAAGAAAACUUGUUUUAUCUUACCUAUGAGCCGUUGGCGAUCAAGCUCAUAUAUUUUAAAACAACCAAAAAUAAAAAAUUUUAAAUUAAAAACAUCAUAAUCAUCAACAAAAAUCAUCAUCGUAGUUCAUCAUCAUUUUAUCAUCAUAAACCUUAUCAUCAUCACCAUUAUCAUCAUAAUAAUCAUUAUCAUCAACACAAUAAUUAUCAUAAUCAUUUUGUCAUCAUAAACCUUAUCAACAUCACCAUCAUCAUCGUAAUAAUCAUUAUCACAAUUCUAUAAAUAAUUGGUUCCAAGUGAACCUUGGUGAGAUGUUACUCACCUAUAUAUUCUCGCUGCGUCUUCACCAAAAACACAACCAAAAGAGCCAAGCCAAUCACACCUCACAAGUCACCUAUAAUUACACAAUUAAUUGCCUUAGUAACCAAAGUACUUAUAGCACAUCAAACACCUUUAAACUAACCCAUUGCCUAAAGGAGGACAACCUUCCAAGGUCGUCAAACUUAACGACUAAAUAAGGCUGCCUCCAAUCCUCAAAACCUAAACUCAAACCUCACAUAAACCUAAGCUUAAAUUUAAUGUCCCAACAUGCAAUAAAGAAACCCAAAUUCUACAAACCACAUAUCAACACAAACGUAACGAUGCGUACUACCUAACCAUCACCACAAACACCACAGACACUACCAGACGCGCCGCCACGCGUCUCCACAGGCGACUGCGCGUGGGCUGACUUGUAUACAAUUCACGCAAGCGAACAUAUCGUUGUCAAGAUAGGGAAGUAUUUGUGCCCAAGUUAUCGUACCAUGGGGAUUAGUGGCUAACCCACAAUCCUAAGCUAAUCGGAACAAAAGUCACUAAGAAAACAAAGAAAAAGAAGAAAAAUGCUACUCUAAAACACCAAGCCUUUGCAAUGCUCAGCCUCAGUUAUCACCAAAGCCUAAUCAAUACUAAAUGCCUAGUGAUGGGUAAUUAUAAUGAGUCGAUAUAUAAAAUGGAGAUUGAAUGAGGAAUUAACUAAAUUGACGAAAAACUAAAGGAAAAAUAAACUACUUACUAAUGAACUAGAGAAUGAUGAGAACAUGGGAGUGUCGGGUGAUCCACACUAACUCAUAUGCAAACAUCGAUACCAAUUUCACCAAUGCAUAUCCUAUUGUAUCAAGUCCCGUAUCUAAUACCGGUUAAGGCUACUAGACCAAUAUCCUUUCGGUGUAUCAAUUAUGCCGGUUAAGGCCACAAUCAACUCUCUAACAUGGGCAUUACGCCGGUUAAGGCCGUAACAUCCAAAUUAGAGGCCUAGAGUGCAAGAUAAUAGAGACCCAAGCAAGCUUAGCUACAAUCAAGCUAGCUAAUAGUUACCACACUUCAAAUCCUAGAUGCACAAGACUAAUAAGUUGUCAAUUUAUCAAUCUAUCCAUCAAAUUGUCCACAACAUAAUCUCAAAGGGUGACAAAACCUAGAAACAUGUUUCUAAGGAUCAACACAUUCGGAUUCAAAGCAUACACAAUGUAAAUUGCAUUUAUAUCAAUCAAAGUACCAACAUUAUACAAAAUGAGUUUAGGGCUUCAAUACCCUAACUCCCAAAUUAAAUCACUCACAACCCAUAGUCAAAUACAUCAUCAAUAGCAUAUAUGAUAAACGAAUAGACAAUAAGGAAGAGAGGGGGAGAGCUAGCUUGGUCACUUCAAGCUAUGAGCUAGUAUGAACCCAAGUAGACCUUUCACCCAACUACCCAAUUGAUGAGGAAGUGGUGCUCUUGAUGAUGAUGCCUUGAAACCUUGAGUGAGUCCUUCAAGUCUAACUAAAUUGUGAAAUGAGAAGAAAGGGAAGAGAUGAAGGGAUGAAAUGGUGAUGAGUGGUGUUGGCGACGGGAAAGGGCAAGAGCCCUCACUACCAGAAGAAAGGUUUUAGCCGACGAAAAUAAAAAAACCAAGCCGAUGAAUUAUUUUUUCGUCGGCUAACGUGGACUUUAGCCGACAAAAUUUUUCUUCGUCGGCUAAUUUAAAUUUAUCGUCGGCUUUGGUCAACUUUAAUUUCGUCGUCUGAAUAAUUUUUUUCGUCGGCUAUAGUCUGUGAACUUUAGCCGACGAAAUUUUUAAAAGUUUAGCCGACGAAAAAUAUAAUUUCGUCGGCUAAAGUGCCUUAUAUUUACAGAUCUGGACAACAACUCAUCUGGGAAAAAAAAAACUAUACGUAGAACCUUCAAACGCAAAAAAGUCGUGAAAUAAGAUAUGACCAGAAUGGCAAAACGGUUAAAAAAUCACGGUAUUCCGGUAAAGUCUCGGUGCCGAUAGUUGCGGUCAAUGCAAUUUACCCUUAUUAUUCACUAUGCUGCAGAUUUGGCGUUCGGUAUCCGAUUGACUAUUGUGAUACCUUUCCGGAACGUAACGGCCCUACGAGUCAAACUCAUCGCUAUGCCAUGACAUAUGGACCUUUUUGGCCAUCCGAGUCUGUUUAGGGCUUCAAAAUGCAGUUUGCUUAUUUCCGAUUAGAGUUGACCGUUUCGAUCGAGCCCUUAACGUUGUCGAAUCCAGUUGAAUUUUUUACCAUAGACAUCUUUUGUCAUAAUGAUCAUAUCUGACGGUCAAAUUUUGGUUUGUAAAUUUUAGUCAUAGGAAUCACAACGUGUCUACUAUUUACCGUUAUUAUUCCCUAUGGGGAGUCCUAUCGUCGGAAGGUAAAUGUCUCAAAAUUUUAUAUGGGCAGUUGCGUCUCAUCUACGUGAGAGUUUUUCGUGUGGAAGGUUUGACCAAACUACGUAAUAUAGAGGGAGAUAUGAGCGUUUUCGUGUGAUAAGUGACGAUGGAUUAGGGUUGACAGUUUCGAUCGAGCCCUUAACGUUGUCGGAUCCAGUUGAAUUUUUUACCAUAGACAUCUUUCGUCAUAAUGAUCAUAUCUAACGGUCGAAUUUUGGUUUGUGAAUUUUAGUCAUCGGAAUCACAACGUGUCUACUAAUAUUGUAUAACUUGUUUAGUAGGUUAUACAACUUUGUGAACCAACUCUACAUAGGAAGCAAAAUUAUCAAAAAUCUCGUGAAAUAAGAUGUGUUCCAGAAUGGUGAAAUACGGCUGUGGUUCAAAAAUCAUGUAAAUCGGGUAACGUCUCGGUGCCGAUAGUAGCGGUCAACCCUAUUUACAGCUUUUAUUCCCUAUGGGGAGCCCUAUCGUCGGAAGGUAAAUGUCUCAAAAUUUUUAUACAGGCGGUUGCGUCUCAUCUACGUGAAAGUUUUUCGUGUAGAAGGUUUGACCAAACUACGUAAUAUAGAGGGAGAUAUGAGCGUUUUCGUGAAUUUAUAGACUUUAGCCGACGAGAUAUUAAAAAAGUCGUCAGCUAAGGUCAAAAAUUGUUUUGCGGUAAACCAAAUUUGGAGGAAAAUUUUCAAAGGACUUUAGCCGACGAAAAUAUAUGAAAAGUCAUCGGCUAAAGUCGAAAAAUUUUCAAAAUUUUCAACCAAAAUUUUUUGGCGGUCAACCAAAAUUUUCAAAAGAAAAUAAAGAAUUUCGUCGGGUAAAGUUUUUUAUAUAGGAGUUUUACCGGAGGUGGAUGGUAAGAAGUCAGAAAAUCAGAAAAAUGCCGGAUUUUCUUCACGGCCUAACUCCACCGUCAAGCCACCGAAGACCACCACACUUGUCCCAAAAGCUUCGCCGUUGUCUCUACUUCAUUGCUGGACAGGUGGUGCAUCGAGUGGCGCGGCCGUGAGGGAUAAAUCGAGCUCCAAAACUCCGCCGGUUCGGAUUCGGUGUCGAUCGAAUUUCUCCUUCCUCAGGUCACCAUUUGGUGAGUUCUAUAUAUGGAUAAGUUGAGUUUGAUUAGUACUACAUUCCCCUAGAAUUUGGUAGCUCGAUUCAGUGUGUGUGAGGAGAAUCGAAGAUUUCAAGUUUUUAGGGUUUAAAAUUGGGGAUUUUUAUAUUUUGAUUCAAUUGACCUGUUUAGGCUUAGAAUUGGGCUUCGACUUCUUCUAGAAAGUUGUUCGAAAUGUUGAGAGGAAGAUUCUGUCAAAUUUUGGUCGUGAUUGGAGUGGCCGAAAGUUUCUGCAGUUUUUUUUUUCAAAAACCAGCAACUUUAGCCGACGAUAUUUAAAUACUAUAUUCGUCGGCUAUAGUUAUUUUUAAUUUUUUUAUUAG